rnacentral:misc_RNA from 1 species
CUAGUUAUUGUUGCAGAAUGAUCACCUUCGGCUUGCUGGCGGUGCUGUUGCUGGCUUGGCUGUGGCAGCGCUGGCACUUUGGCCACUGGCAGCGGCUGGGCGUGCCGCAUGCACCCGCCGCGCCCUUUGUGGGCAAUGUGUGGCGCCUGCUGCGCGGCUGUUGCUGUUUUGGCGACCAGUUCCGCGAGCUCUAUGAGUGUCCGAGUGCCAAGGGGCAGGCAUACCUGGGCAUACACGUGCUGCACAAUCAUGCGCUGCUGCUGCGCGAGCCGGCGCUGAUCAAGCGUAUUCUCGUCGAGGAUUUUGGCCAGUUCUCCAGUCGCUUUGAGACUACAGACGCCAUUGGUGACACGAUGGGCGCACAGAAUUUGUUCUUCUCCAAGUACGAGAUGUGGCGCGAGACGCACAAGAUAUUUGCGCCCUUCUUUGCCGCCGGCAAGGUGCGUCAUAUGUUUGGGCUGCUGCAGCAGAUUGGCCAGCAGCUGGAGCAGCAUAUGGCCAGGCAGCUGACGGCGAGCGGCACCAAGGAGGGCACACUGGAGCUGGAGGUCAAGCAGCUGAGUGCGCUGUUCAGCACAGAUAUUAUUGCCUCGCUGGCCUUUGGCCUGGAGGCCAAUUGUCUACAGCAGCCGGACGCAGAGUUUCGGCGCAUGUGCAUCGAGGUGAAUGAGCCGCGUCCCAAGCGUCUGUUGCAUCUCUUCACCAUGUUCUUCUUUCCGCGCUGCUCGCGCCAGCUGCGCACCCAUCUCUACUCGGAGGAGUACGAGCGUUUCAUGCGGCAAUCCAUGAACUGGGUGAUGGAACAGCGUGCGGCCAGCGGGGAGCAGCGCCACGAUCUGAUUGACAUAUUUCUGCAGCUGCAGCGCACGCAGCCGCCGGAGAGCGUGGUGCAUCGGCGUGACUUUUUCGUGGCGCAGGCAGCAUUUCUGCUGCUCGCCGGCUUCGACACCUCCUCCUCGACGAUUACCUUUGCGCUGUACGAGCUGGCCAAGCAGCCGGCCAUACAGCAGCGCCUCAGGCAAGAGCUGGCGGCGGCGCUGCUAGGCAGCGGAGCCACGGCCGGACAGUUGGACUACGAGACGCUCAGCGGACUGCCCUAUUUGCGGCAGGUGGUAGAUGAGGUGUUGCGCUUGUAUCCGCCCACUGCAUUUCUGGAUCGCUGCUGCAAUGCCAAGGCUGGCUAUGACUUGUCCGCCUGGAGCUGUGGUUCCGCCUUGAGGCUGCCGCCUGGCACGCCCGUCUAUAUUUCUGUGCUGGGACUGCAUCGUGAUGAGCAGUACUGGCCUCAGCCCUUGAAGUUUGAUCCGGAGCGUUUCUCGCCAGAGCAACGGGUGCAGCAUCAACCCAUGACAUAUUUGCCGUUUGGCGCCGGUCCGCGCGAAAGGCCAAAGCCUUUGUGUUAACAGCUGCGGGAGGCACCUAUUUGCGCUUCGUCCGGGAUCCGCUGUGACAAAAAAAAACUGGACCAUUGUGUUGCAGUUUUUUAAAUUUUCACUUUAUUGGGCUUAAGAUCAGCUCAAAAAUGUUCACAAAAUUUGUCAGUUGUUCUAGCCAAAUACUGCUGGCCAUAUAAAUGGCUAAUCAGUUGUUAUCUGCGCAGACCGUGGACUGUAUUUAUUGACUUGUAAGCUGGCUUAUCAAAAAAGAAUUGAACAAAGUGCAUUUUAACAAACUAUAAAAACUUAAAACCUAUAAAACAAGAAAUUUCAAUUUUCAGUAUCGAGUUACUUUAAGUGCAAAUAAAAUUUGAUAAUGCAUUUAGACCAUGUAUUUUACCAACAAUAUUUAGCUAGCUUGACAAUCAACCAUAUGUAUGUUGUGUAUUUUUUUGCGUUUUUCGGUUUUUGUUUUUCAUUUUUUUUUUUCUUUUAAUUUUUUACCAUAUACAAUUUAAAAAACUAGCUCUCAAGCUACCUGGCUUAUAUCUUCACUUUUUACAAAUUAUCAAAAAAAUAACUAAAGCAAUUUUACACACUCGUCAUUAAAGAACUAAGCUAACAACU